rnacentral:rRNA from 1 species
AUUGAACGCUGGCGGCAGGCCUAACACAUGCCAGUCGAACGGUAACAGAAAGCAGCUUGCUGCUUUGCUGACGAGUGGCGGACGGGUGAGUAAUGUCUGGGAAACUGCCUGAUGGAGGGGGAUAACUACUGGAAACGGUAGCUAAUACCGCAUAACGUCGCAAGACCAAAGAGGGGGACCUUCGGGCCUCUUGCCAUCGGAUGUGCCCAGAUGGGAUUAGCUUGUUGGUGGGGUAACGGCUCACCAAGGCGACGAUCCCUAGCUGGUCUGAGAGGAUGACCAGCCACACUGGAACUGAGACACGGUCCAGACUCCUACGGGAGGCAGCAGUGGGGAAUAUUGCACAAUGGGCGCAAGCCUGAUGCAGCCAUGCCGCGUGUAUGAAGAAGGCCUUCGGGUUGUAAAGUACUUUCAGCGGGGAGGAAGGGAGUAAAGUUAAUACCUUUGCUCAUUGACGUUACCCGAAGAAGAAGCACCGGCUAACUCCGU